GCUAGCUACAGGCUUAACACAUGCAAGUCGAGGGGCAGCAUGGUCUUAGCUUGCUAAGACUGAUGGCGACCGGCGCACGGGUGAGUAACACGUAUCCAACCUGCCGUCUACUCUUGGACAGCCUUCUGAAAGGAAGAUUAAUACAAGAUGGCAUCAUGAGUCCGCAUGUUCACAUGAUUAAAGGUAUUCCGGUAGACGAUGGGGAUGCGUUCCAUUAGAUAGUAGGCGGGGUAACGGCCCACCUAGUCUUCGAUGGAUAGGGGUUCUGAGAGGAAGAUCCCCCACAUUGGAACUGAGACACGGUCCAAACUCCUACGGGAGGCAGCAGUGAGGAAUAUUGGUCAAUGGGCGAGAGCCUGAACCAGCCAAGUAGCGUGAAGGAUGACUGCCCUAUGGGUUGUAAACUUCUUUUAUAAAGGAAUAAAGUCGGGUAUGCAUACCCGUUUGCAUGUACUUUAUGAAUAAGGAUCGGCUAACCCCGUGCCAGCAGCCGCGGUAAUACGGAGGAUCCGAGCGUUAUCCGGAUUUAUUGGGUUUAAAGGGAGCGUAGAUGGAUGUUUAAGUCAGUUGUGAAAGUUUGCGGCUCAACCGUAAAAUUGCAGUUGAUACUGGAUAUCUUGAGUGCAGUUGAGGCAGGCGGAAUUCGUGGUGUAGCGGUGAAAUGCUUAGAUAUCACGAAGAACUCCGAUUGCGAAGGCAGCCUGCUAAGCUGCAACUGACAUUGAGGCUCGAAAGUGUGGGUAUCAAACAGGAUUAGAUACCCUGGUAGUCCACACGGUAAACGAUGAAUACUCGCUGUUUGCGAUAUACUGCAAGCGGCCAAGCGAAAGCGUUAAGUAUUCCACCUGGGGAGUACGCCGGCAACGGUGAAACUCAAAGGAAUUGACGGGGGGCCCGCACAAGCGGAGGAACAUGUGGUUUAAUUCGAUGAUACGCGAGGAACCUUACCCGGGCUUAAAUUGCAGAUGAAUUACGGUGAAAGCCGUAAGCCGCAAGGCAUCUGUGAAGGUGCUGCAUGGUUGUCGUCAGCUCGUGCCGUGAGGUGUCGGCUUAAGUGCCAUAACGAGCGCAACCCUUGUUGUCAGUUACUAACAGGUUCCGCUGAGGACUCUGACAAGACUGCCAUCGUAAGAUGUGAGGAAGGUGGGGAUGACGUCAAAUCAGCACGGCCCUUACGUCCGGGGCUACACACGUGUUACAAUGGGGGGUACAGAGGGCCGCUACCACGCGAGUGGAUGCCAAUCCCAAAAACCUCUCUCAGUUCGGACUGGAGUCUGCAACCCGACUCCACGAAGCUGGAUUCGCUAGUAAUCGCGCAUCAGCCACGGCGCGGUGAAUACGUUCCCGGGCCUUGUACACACCGCCCGUCAAGCCAUGGGAGCCGGGGGUACCUGAAGUGCGUAACCGCGAGGAGCGCCCUAGGGUAAAACUGGUGACUGGGGCUAAGU
rnacentral:rRNA from 1 species